UACAGAGGUGGCAAGCGUUGUUCGGAAUUACUGGGCGUAAAGGGCGCGUAGGUGGCCUUCUUAGUCAGACGUGAAAUCCCCGGGCUUAACUCGGGAACUGCGUCUGAUACUGGAAGGCUGGAGUUCGGGAGAGGAAUGUGGAAUUCCAGGUGUAGCGGUGAAAUGCGUAGAUAUCUGGAGGAAUACCGGUGGCGAAGGCGGCAUCCUGGACCGGCAUUGACGCUGAGGAGCGAAAGCUAGGGGAGCAAACAGG
rnacentral:rRNA from 1 species